rnacentral:rRNA from 1 species
GAGGAACAUUUAUAGGCUAACUCCGUGCCAGCAGCCGCGGUAAUACHVYBUKKAUGCAAGCGUUAUCCGGAAUCAUUGGGCGUAAAGCGCCUGUAGGUUGUUUACUAAGUCUGUUGUUAAAGACUAGGGCUUAACCCUAGAAAAGCAAUGGAAACUUGUAAACUAGAGUAUGGCAGGGGUAGAGGGAAUUUCUAGUGUAGCGGUGAAAUGCGUAGAUAUUAGAAAGAACACCAGUGGCGAAAGCGCUCUACUGGACCAUUACUGACACUCAGAGGCGAAAGCUAGGGUAGCAAAAGGGAUUAGAUACCCCUGUAGUCCUAGCCGUAAACGAUGGAUACUAGAUGUUGUGCAUAGUACAGUAUCGUAGCUAACGCGUUAAGUAUCCCGCCUGGGGAGUACGCUCGCAAGGGUGAAACUCAAAGGAAUUGACGGGGGCCCGCACAAGCGGUGGAGCAUGUGGUUUAAUUCGAUGCAACGCGAAGAACCUUACCAGGGCUUGACAUACUACAGAUUCUUUUGAGAAAGAGAAGUGCCUUCGGGAAUGUAGAUACAGGUGGUGCAUGGCUGUCGUCAGCUCGUGUCGUGAGAUGUUGGGUUAAGUCCCGCAACGAGCGCAACCCUUAUUUUUAGUUACCAACUCGUUGGGUUUUUUAGAAAGACUGCCGGUGACAAACCGGAGGAAGGUGAGGAUGACGUCAAGUCAGCAUGCCCCUUAUGUCCUGGGCUACACACGUGCUACAAUGGUUAAGACAAAGAGUUGCGAGCUCGUGAGAGUAAGCUAAUCUAUUAAACUUAGCCUAAGUUCAGAUUGUAGGCUGCAACUCGCCUGCGUGAAG